rnacentral:lncRNA from 1 species
GCUUCCUAUUGUUUAUGGUUGGGAUUGGAAGGAGGUGUUCAGGCUCUUUCAGAUGACUUUAGGAUUUAGUUAAAAUAGAUAGUUAGGAUGUGACAUAAGCAGAUUGUUGUAUCUUCUUAUAUUUUACCUCUAUGAUUGUUAAUUUUGGACACUUUACACUGUUAAGUUUUAAUCCUCUUUUAGACUAAAAGGGGAAUUGUAGGGGAAGCUGUAGCCACGCCUACUUAGGGGCUGGCUACAGGUGUGCCUGACCACACUUGUGAGGGCGUGGUCAGGGUGAUGUAGAGUGACUGCAUUUUUCUCUUUCAGUUUCACUUUUGUACUUGCUGGACAGACUGCUGCCACGCCGGCUGGCUAGGUUGCUCUAGCCUUCAUCCAGCAGCUGAUGGAAGUAGAAGCAGACACCCACAGCUAAACACUGAACUGAACUGGAAUCCAAUUUCAGAGAAGGAGAAAUGAUGAGCAAAGCGGUCCAUACCAGGCUGGUGAAACCCACAGAAACAGCUGACCUGAACAAGGAGGAGCUCUUGGCCUCUAGACCGAUCACUGGGAAACCAGCAUGGAACUGAUCCAGAUCCCAUGAAUGUGGGUGUCAGUAAGGAGGCCUCCGAAAUCUGUGUGGCCUCUUGUAGUAGAUCAGUACUUAUCCCUAGCAUAGGAAUGGACUUUGGGAGCCCAUUUUACAUCGAGGGAUACUCCCUUUGCCUAGACACACGGGGGAAGGGUCUAGGCCCUAUCCCAAAGGAUAUAACAGACUCCUAAGACUCCCCAUGGAAGACCUCACUCUCACUGGGGAGCAGAAAUGGUAUGGGAUAGGUAGGGUGUUAGUGGGGGCAAGGGAGGUGGAGAGGGAGAGGGAACUGGG